rnacentral:rRNA from 1 species
UAGAUACCCUAUUAUUUGAAAUGUAAUUAGUUUACUAAAGUAGUAAUAGUUAUGUUCUUGAANCUUAAAAAAUUUGGCGGUAUUUUAGUCUAUUCAGAGGAACCUGUCCUAUAAUCGAUAAUCCACGUUGGACCUCACUUAAAUUUGUUUUCAGUAUGUAUACCGNCGUUAUAAGAAUAUUUUAUAAGAAUAAUAAUUUUCUAGAUUUUUUAUAAAAAUUUAUAUCAGAUCAAGGUGCAGCUUAUAUUUAAGAAGAGAUGGGUUACAAUAAAAAUAUUUAUACGGAUUAAUUUUUGAAAAAUAAUUAUGAAGGUGGAUUUGAAUGUAAAAUUAUGAAGAUUAAUAAUUUGAUUUUAGCU